CAAGCGGUGGAACAUGUGGUUUAAUUCGAGGCAACGCGAAGAACCUUACCAGGAUUCGACAUGCCCUCUAUGGAUUUCCGAAAAGAAAUCCUUCACUUCGGGUGGGAGGAGCACAGGUGCUGCAUGGCUGUCGUCAGCUCGUGUCGUGAGAUGUUGGGUUAAGUCCCGCAACGAGCGCAACCCUCGUCCUCUGUUGCUAACAGGUUAGGCUGAGCACUCUGAGGAAACUGCCGGUGAUAAGCCGGAGGAAGGUGGGGAUGACGUCAAGUCCUCAUGGCCCUUACAUCCUGGGCUACACACGUGUUACAAUGGCGGUGACAAUGAGUCGCGAUCGCGCAAGCGCUAGCUAAUCUCAAAAAGCCGCCUCAGUUCGGAUUGCACUCUGCAACUCGAGUGCAUGAAGCUGGAAUCGCUAGUAAUCGCGGAUCAGCACGCCGCGGUGAAUACGUUCCCGGGUCUUGUACACACC
rnacentral:rRNA from 1 species